rnacentral:rRNA from 1 species
UACGUAGGGCGCAAGCGUUGUUCGGAUUUACUGGGCGUAAAGGGCGCGUAGGCGGCGCGGUAAGUCACUUGUGAAAUCUCUGAGCUUAACUCAGAACGGCCAAGUGAUACUGCAGUGCUAGAGUGCAGAAGGGGCAAUCGGAAUUCUUGGUGUAGCGGUGAAAUGCGUAGAUAUCAAGAGGAACACCUGAGGUGAAGACGGGUUGCUGGGCUGACACUGACGCUGAUGCGCGAAAGCCAGGGGAGCAAACGGG